rnacentral:tRNA from 1 species
GGAGGAGUAGCGAAGUGGUCAUAACGCGGCGCACUCGAAAUGCGUUUACGGGGUAACUCGUACGUGGGUUCGAAUCCCACUUCCUCCGCCA